GCGAUAAGUGCAACAACCUUCAAAAAUUAUUUGUGGACAAAAUUACAGAAUUGGGAGAAUUAAUUGAAAAACAAAACAAAGUGAUCAUUAAUAUUUGGCGGAACAUACCGUUUUGUUACAAAAUCUAACUCAAAAGGAGAAGGGAACUGUUGGAGCUAUUUCCAAAUUUCCUAUCAAAACAGAUGAUGUUAUCGUGAAAUUAGAGGCGGAAAUAAAUGAUGAUAAUAGAGAUUGCUAUAUUUCAGCAGUGCAAUACUUGUUGCAAGGAGAGGUUGUAAAAAAUUUCGAAAAAGUUUUGGCGCGUAAAUUUUGCCUUGAAUACAACAUUAAUGGAAUUGGCAACAAAAAGAGCUUUAAGGAUUAUUCUAUGGUGUAUACCAUACUUAAAAAAGCAAUUGGAAAAACAGCAGUAAAUGCGGAAGCGGAAAUGAGGAGGGCUUUUCAGGUCGUAAAAAAGAGGAAUUUCCGGCAGGUUUCUUCGUUCAAAAAUCAUACCUAAUAUAAAAACUGAUUUUUUUGCGUUACACAUACGUACCUCUCCCAAAAUAGAGUUAAGUUUUUAAUAAUAAUUUAAGUGUAAUAUAUGUAAAUACAAUUUUUUUUAUAAAAAAUGAG